ACUUGGCUCGCUAAUUUUGUAUUUUGGAUUUCCAUCUUUUGGAAAUCCAAAAUUAAUCGGCCAAAUUCACGGAGCCACAAAAUAUAUGUAGGAAGUUAUUUUUUUUUCAUUUUGUCACAAAAUUACAACCCGGUGUCUCAAACUAAAGUGUGAAACUCUACGAUCGUUCAAAAUACGCAAUGGAAGAAGAAAACAAUGUACUUUUUGUCAGGGGAACAGCAAAGGAUACAAAUUUUACUGCGGCGGAUGAUGUUUGGGAUGACACAGCUCUGAUAAAAGCAUAUGACAAAGCAAUCAAUUUGGCUAAGGACAAAGUUGCCAAGCGAAUUGGUAUGGAAUUUGUAUGUACCCCAGAAAACUCUAAACCACAAGUACAAAAAAAAUCGAAUCAGACCAAAGCAAAUCAGAAGUGGACGGUGGGUUCGCCUUGUCGAGCAAUUUAUGCCAAUGACGGCCAAGAGUACGAAGCCAUUGUAACAAACGUGUAUGAGAAAUCUAAAACUUGUCGAGUCACAUUCGUAGGUUAUGGUAACACAGAGAUCGUAGAACUGUCUACGCUACGUGAAUCUCACGGGUUGAAGAGCCAGAUCGAACAGAACAAAAAUUGUCAGGUGGUUGAUGAAAGUCUAGAAAGUUCGCAAGCGACUCAUGCGGGUCUUGAUGCACCAGAAGUAAAUGGAUCUUUAGGGGAACGGAUGGAUUUUGAGAAUGAACAUCAGAGCAUGCCAAAAAAUGUUUUCAACUCUGGCUCAACGUUCAAUUCCUCAUACGGAAUCAUGCCACCGGCACCGCCUUUACCUCCGCAGCUAAUGUCAAAACUUCCUGACAACGAUGCAGACGCCCUUUCCAGUAUGCUCAUGUCCUGGUACAUUAGUGGUUUCCAUACAGGAUAUUAUCACGGCAUUAAACAAGCACGACAUUUGGAAGAGAAACGAAAAAAGUGAUGAAUCGAAUACUUUUAAAAAAAUAUCAACAAAAACACUGAAACAACUGCCCCAUUAUUCUUAUACGGAUUUCUUUAUUUGUUCCCUUGGAAAUUAGAUUGCUGUAUUACCACGGAGCAUUCGUAGCAGCCAAUAAAAUAACAUGAGAAUCAUCAACGGAUUUGAGACCAUCGAGCCUGGAGAGAAGCUCGGCCCUGAAACGUCUCGCUGGUUCGGA